UUGAUGCUACUCGGUGAGUAUCUGAGGUAAUUUUGCUUAAUUUCCAACGAAUUUAACGUCGAUGACUAUAAAUGUGAUGAAAUAUGACAAUAACACCUCUAGUCAACCGACUUGUUUGACGACAUGGGCUACCCAAAUUGUGUAAUUUAACAACGGUCAUAACGUUAUAUCGCUAGCUACUGUAGGUGUACAAAAUUCACAAAGUUUAUUUGACCACUGACAAUCCUGUAAAACCUUAGCUAACAUUUAUAUCAACUAAAAGUUGAAAUUCUAUACUAUUUAAUUGUCUAUUUUCUUUCGUUUUUUUGAUGGCAUGCGUUUGAAGUGUAUGUAGUUGAAUGAAUUGUAUGAUAUGUGACAGCCUGAUGGUCAUUGGGGGCAAACGUGUCUUUCUAUGUAAACUGAAUUUAACUGCAUAUGAAAUAAUAAUCACCCUAACCCUACCCAUAACCCCCAAACCCCCCACUGCUGUCUUCCUCCUAGCAGACCUAUCAAGCAAACGUAAGUUUCUUUAUAUGUAUCUAAUAUGGUUAUACUGUCACUUGUCACUGCACUCAUCAGUCAUGAUAAUAGUUUUUUUUUUGCCUCCUAAGAUGGAAAAUCCAAGGUUCCGUUUCACGCCCUCACAGGAGUUGGUCCUCAAGGCCACACCCCAGGCAGUAAGAGUGGCUGCUGACGGCCCCCCUGCUUCUGGUGCUCAGGGCCCUCCUGUGAGGACUAAGAAGUGGGAGGAAGUGGAGGCAGAGGCUCGCGCCCGCGUCGUCUCCGAGGGAGGUGACCCCGGUGCAGAGAUGGUCAUCCUGAACCGGUGCACGGUUCCGUUCGGCAAGUACCGGGGUCAGACAUUCAAGUGGAUGAUGGAGAACGACGUAGGCUACAUGUGUACGUGGUAACAGUACAUCAGAAGGAGAGGGAGCGAGAGCGCAGCGUUUCCCAGCAUCCCCUGAUGGGCCAACAAGGACGCCUUGACUCGCUACUCGUGCGCCGAUCCGGCCUUCGCUGAGAUGGUCAGGUUCAACCGGGCACAGGAGGAAGCUAAAGUCCUCCCAGCCAGGCCAGGAGGGCCUGGCCUUUGUUGGCAUCAGGAAGUACAAGUGGGACUCGCUGCAGGACCUGUAUGAGACUACAGGUGCAGACAGGAUAAGAUAUGUCAGGAGCUUGAGGACGCAGACACCCCGUUAUCCUGGGAGUGCGAUGGCUGCCUUGAUUGGCUACAUUCAGCGCAGAGACCAGGAGGGGGUAGCUGCUGUGGUCAGGCCCGCCGCAGCCAGCACCACCCCCGCCAGCUAACACCCGGCCCAAGUGCGGCUACGUCUCUUGGUCCUGCGAUCUCUACGCUCCUGUCAAGGCGCUCUCUCACCCAGGUGAACUGCAGUCGAAGAUGAAGAAGCUCAUUGCUUCUCAGCCUGCAA